rnacentral:rRNA from 1 species
AUGCAGCAAGGAAGGCCCUUGGCAUACUACAGCUCAUCCUUGUGUCCCAGAAAUCAAGCUCUAUCUACUUAUGAGAAAGAAGCACUGGCAAUACUUGAAGCUCUUAAAAGACGGAGGCACUAUUUGCUUGGAAAUGAGCUCCUCAUCAAAACUGAUCAACAAUCCCUCAAAUUUAUUACUGAUCAGAAAAUAACUGAAGGAGUGCAACAUAAAUUGAUGAUGAAAUUACUGGAAUUCAACUUUAAGAUCCAGUACAAAAAGGGCAGUACUAACAAAGUGGCUGAUGCACUGUCCAGAAUUCUCCCCUCUUGCAGAGCAAUUUCUAUGGCCACUCCCGUGUGGGCACAGGAACUGGUAGAAGGUUAUCACAAAGAUCCAAUCUCUAAGGGAAUAUUGGAGAAACUGUUAGUACACCCGGACAGCUGUUUGCCUGAUUAUACUCUCACAUCUGGCAUCAUAAGAUAUAAAGGAAAAAUAUUGGCGGAAAUUUUUCCUAACCUAAGGAACAGAUUGAUAACUGCUCUGCACAGCUCUCCAAUUGGGGGCCACUAUGGAACAAGGGCAACUUAUCAGAGAAUUAAAAAUAUUUUCUAUUAG